rnacentral:rRNA from 1 species
GGGCCCGCACAAGCAGUGGAGCAUGUGGUUUAAUUCGAUGCAACGCGAAGAACCUUACCAGGGCUUAAAUGUAGAACGACCGAUUUGGAAACAAGUCUUCUCUUUUGAGCGGUCUACAAGGUGCUGCAUGGUUGUCGUCAGCUCGUGCCGUGAGGUGUCGGGUUAAGUCCCUUAACGAGCGCAACCCUAUCUCUAGUUGCCAGCGGAUAAUGCCGGGGACUCUAGAGAAACUGCCCGUGCAAACGGUGAGGAAGGUGGGGAUGACGUCAAAUCAUCACGGCCCUUACGUCCUGGGCUACACACGUGCUACAAUGGUCGGUACAGAGGGCAGCUACCACGUGAGUGGAUG